UACGAAGGUCCCGAGCGUUAUCCGGAUUUAUUGGGUUUAAAGGGUGCGUAGGCGGGUUAUUAAGUCAGUGGUGAAAGCCUACAGCUUAACUGUAGAAUUGCCAUUGAUACUGAUGAUCUUGAGUAUGAUUGAGGUGGGCGGAAUGUGUCAUGUAGCGGUGAAAUGCUUAGACAUGACACAGAACACCGAUUGCGAAGGCAGCUCACUAAGUCAUAACUGACGCUGAUGCACGAAAGCGUGGGGAGCAAACAGG
rnacentral:rRNA from 1 species